GGGCAAGUCCUGUACGACCAGCUCCUACUUAAUCCCCCAGGAUGGGAACAUAGCAAGGGUCGGUGGUUGUAGCGGUGCGAUACUGGUAGCUUGCCCAUU
rnacentral:SRP_RNA from 1 species